rnacentral:rRNA from 1 species
AUUGAACGCUGGCGGCAUGCCUUACACAUGCAAGUCGAACGGUAACGGGCCUUCGGGUGCCGACGAGUGGCGAACGGGUGAGUAAUGCAUCGGAACGUACCUUUCAGUGGGGGAUAACGUAGCGAAAGUUACGCUAAUACCGCAUAUUCUGUGAGCAGGAAAGCAGGGGAUCGCAAGACCUUGCGCUGAUUGAGCGGCCGAUGUCAGAUUAGCUAGUUGGUGAGGUAAAGGCUCACCAAGGCGACGAUCUGUAGCGGGUCUGAGAGGAUGAUCCGCCACACUGGAACUGAGACACGGUCCAGACUCCUACGGGAGGCAGCAGUGGGGAAUUUUGGACAAAUGGGGGGCAACCCUGAUCCAGCCAUGCCGCGUGAGUGAAGAAGGCCUUCGGGUUGGUUAAAGACGUCUUUCGGUCCCGGGAAGGAAAGUACGCAUGGGUUAAU